rnacentral:rRNA from 1 species
UGCCAGCAGCUGCGGUUAUAUUCAAAAGUAGAUCAGAAGAAAAAAGAAUUAAUAAAAAUAAUCAUUAAUUUGGUCUAAUAAAACUUAUGUAAAAUGAUUAUUGGGGUAUUUAUACAACUAGAAAAGAAAAAUGGAUUAGUACCCAUGUAUUAUAUUUUGAUUCUUUAAUAGUAAAUUAUAAAAUUAAAAUUUCAUGGCUGCGCCUGUUAAGAAUUAUUAGAGAAUUUUGGAAAAUAAAUUGAUACUCCACAAUUCUAUUUACUGCCCAAGCAUAUUUAACGUAUGGCUGUGUCAAAAUUAUUCGCAUAGUUUUAUCACCAAGUAACAUGUAAUUUGGGCAGGAAUUUCUAAAAUGCAGUUUAAGUAUAUGACAACUCAUUAGCUGUAUUCCGUAUUUAAUAGUAGGAGUGUCCGUCUUCGAAUAUUUUCUUAAAGGGGUUCAAAUUGUCCGUCAUUCUCUAUUAGAGAUAAGUCGUAACAAAGU